ACAAAAGACAAGGAGGAAAGCAAAUACACACACACACACUAGUAGCAUCAAAUCCUUGGUGGUAGAAAAGGAAAAAUCCCCUUUCUCCUAGAGCCGCGGGCGCGCGCAGGAGGCCUGACCUGAUCGGAGCGGAGAGGAGAGCCAACCGCACAUGCCUGUGCUGCGGGCGCGGCCCCACCUACCCCGCCCUAAUAUGCUCUCUCCCGAAUCCCCACCUCCCCAGUCCCCAUCUAUAAAAGCCGCGCCCCUCCUCCUCUUCCCUUCCACGCAGCGACCAGUGGCCGUAGGUAGCACGCUCCCCCUCUUCCUCCUCUCCAAAGUCCACCGCCCUCCGUGCCGAGCAACCGAAUCGGGAUCGAUCGUCUCCUCCCCGUCGCCGCCGCCUCGGGCUCGCUUGGUGCAGAUCGGGACCCUCCGCCCGCCCCGACGGGCCGGAUCCCGCCUUGCACCAAGUGAAUCGGAGCCGGCGCAGCGACCCCGCCCCCGCCCCCGCCGCCAGAAUUGGUUGACGCUCCGGUGACGUUGAUUUCGGCCGCCUUCUUCCCCUGGUUCGAUCGGUCCGACGCUGGUGAUUGAUUACUAACUACUCGCUGCCGGUCUUAUGUUCGAUUCCGAUUCGUGCCAUGCUAUGGUGCAAAUUGAGCCCCCAAAUUGUGUUGCAGGGGAGGCCGUGGGACGCUAUGAGAUGGUUCGACUUAGUUGGUCAUGACGCGAAUUUCGAUUUGGAUCAUGGGGCGGGUCUUGUGUAUGGUACUGGUAGAUUCAGUAGUAUUUGGCGUGAUUGGACUGUGGAGAACAUUUAUUGAUGUAGAUGGAUGCUGGUAUCGUUUUACUACUUGUAGCAGGGGCGUAUCUCUGGCUAGCAGCUCUGUACUCUGCAGGUGACUGGUAAUUGCGGUGGACUUGUUUUGGGAGGAGACAUGCUCAGAUGAGUUGCAUGUGUAUCCUUCCACAUGCUUUAUUUAGCACAUUUGCUGUAGCCUGAUGUGAAUUGUCUUCAGGACAGAUGCUAAUUCCAGAGAUUUGAUUUGAAACCUGUAAGGUCUACAGUAGACUUGUUCUGUUCAUCUGGGGAAUUUCAGCCUUUUGAUUCAAGACCUAUCGGUAUGGUUUGAGCUUUGAUUUGUCAAAAGCUUACUACUCCCUCCGUCCGGGUGUAUAAGUCAUUCGCGUAGUUCUAGGUCAUCGAUUUGAGGAAUUAAAUAUGUGUUAUAUGUCAUGAAAAGUAUACCACUAGAUUUCCACGCGAAUGUAGUUUCUAAAUAUAUAUUUUUUGUUACAUAUAAUACAUAUUUAGAUAGUUAAAUUAUUGACCUAGAACUACGUGAAUGACUUAUACACUGGGACGGAGGUAGUAAACCUUAUUCAGCAGUGAUCAAAGUGGAUAGGCACAAGUAUCAAAGUUUACAUAGGGAUAGGUGUGUAGUUGCUAACUUUUGUAUAGUUUUAACUACACUGCAUAGGGGUGUAGCGAGCUAAUCUCGAUCCCAUCUGUGAAUCUUGAUAGGAGCAACAUGUACGGUUUCCAAUUUUGAAAGUGUGCCAAGUUUGUUGCUUCCUGGAUGUUUCACUAGUCAUAUGCUGUACCACGUGGUCAUUGUUUGUAUCAGAAUGAAGCAAAAGAGAAAAGUGAGUUUCUAACAGUAAA